UGCAGCCUCAAAGUCCCUCUCAGAAAGAUUUCUAGCAUACAUGAAGUGGAAAAAGCAAGAUACAGAACAGAGCAUUUAGAAAGCUAACUUUUGUAUAAGAGGGAGCAAGAGAGAUCAACUGACAAUCUACUCUGACAAAAUAUAAAGUGAGCCACCCACAGUGGGCCAGAUGCUCUAUAAAAAGAAUAAGAAGUAACUGCAAAUUGGCAAAGCAGUGCUACUAGAGGUGUCUCCGAACUUGAUUGAAGAAAAACGACUCAUGCGGUGCACCUCUUAUCACAGCAUUCCUGGUGACGCCAUUUUACUCCUUCCUCACUGCCAUCUUAGUGCCACGGAAUGCUUCUAGCGGGCUGGCCGACAUGCUUGCUUAUCUACAUUAUGGCAUUGCCAGAGCAUUCAAAGGAGUAUGCCAAGGAAACCAGAUGAGUUGCAGAAUAUUCUGACUACAAAAGACCCUGGAACAGAGGGUAUGAGAAGUGUUAACUAAGCUGCCUCACACCCCAGGUGCCUGAAUAUAUAUAUACAUGGAGGUCAUAAAAAUACUGAA